rnacentral:rRNA from 1 species
UAAGGAAUAUUGGGCAAUGGACGCAAGUCUGACCCAGCCAUGCCGCGUGGAGGAUGAAGGUCCUCUGGAUUGUAAACUUCUUUUAUCUGGGAAGAAACCCAUAAAUUCUUUUGUGGUUGACGGUACCAGAUGAAUAAGCACCGGCUAACUCCGUGCCAGCAGCCGCGGUAAUACGGAGGGUGCAAGCGUUAUCCGGAUUCACUGGGUUUAAAGGGUGCGUAGGUGGACUGGUAAGUCCGUGGUGAAAUCCCCAAGCUUAACUUGGGAACUGCCGUGGAUACUAUCAGUCUUGAAUACUGUGGAGGUAAGCGGAAUAUGUCAUGUAGCGGUGAAAUGCUUAGAUAUGACAUAGAACACCGAUAGCGAAGGCAGCUUGCUACACAGUCAUUGACACUGAGGCACGAAAGCGUGGGGAGCAAACAG